UGAGCAAUCUGCCCUUCUCAUCGGAAUAAGCGUUGGAAACGACGUCUAAUGCCGAAUACGACCUCCUUUCNCAUGAUCGGAGGUGGAAAGCUCCGGCGGAGAAGGAUGAGCUCGCGGCCUAUCAGCUAGUUGGUGUGGGUAAUGGCCCACCAAGGCGACGACGGGUAGCCGGCCUGAGAGGGUGACCGGCCACACUGGGACUGAGACACGGCCCAGACUCCUACGGGAGCAG
rnacentral:rRNA from 1 species